rnacentral:lncRNA from 1 species
CUGGACUCUUCAUAACCAAUGCAGCAGUGCUUACACCAGGGUUUCUCACCCAUUGUACUGCUGAUAUUUGGGCUAGAAUAAGCCUUUGUUGGGGAGAGGGAGGUUGUCUUGUGCAUUGUAGGGAGAUUGGCAGCAUCCCUGGUCUCUACCCACUAGACUCCAGUAACGUUUACCCCAUAGCUCCAGGCACCAAAAAUGUUUGCAGACAUUGCCAAGCAUCCCUAGAAAACAAAUCCCUUUUAGCCAAGAAUCACUGAGCUAGAUGAUGUGAUCCUACUGUGGGUGUUAGUUAUAGCCUUGUUUUAGCUAGUAGCAACUUAAUGGUUACUAGUUUUAGUGGUUACUUGCUCUUCCAUUUACUAACUGUGCAAUCCAGUCAAAUUGCAUAAUCUCUCGGUGCCUCAGUUUAUCAUGUUUAAAUUGGAUUUUAUAAGCCUUAUUAUAUACACAAUGUGCCCUUGUGAUAAGGAAUGUAUGCAAGACUUUAGAGUUGCAUCUUAAAUCUGGAAAGCCUUCAAUACAUUUUGGGCAAUACUAAGCUGGUUUAGGAAAUACCAAGUGCUCCUCUUGCAAAGAGGCAGAUUUUGAGAUAAAUCUUAGCAUCAACAACAUAGGAAAAUAGACACAUUUUACAUGCUAUCGGAUAGGAAUGAGAGAGAGUGCUUAUUCACUAAGUAUUUACCAAGGUGUUAGAUUUAGUCCUCCACUAACUGAGUGAGAUGGUGCUAUGACCCAUUUUGCAGUUGAGAAAUUACAUUAUCAGAGAACUCAGGCAAGGAGCUCAGGGUCUCCCAAAGUAGAAUCAGGAUGCAAAGCUAAGUUGCCCCGGAACUGGAAUUUGUAACAGCUGAGAUACUUGGUUCUUUUAAGGAACUGGCCUGUCCAGCAGGAUAAAACCUCACUCCAUGAGGAAAUGCCCCACUCCUCCAUGGACACACAUGAUUGACAUUCUUACCUCCCUCCCCUAUGGCUCUGUUUGUUCCGUGAGAGCCUGGGAGGGGCUUGUUCAUCUCUAUGGCUCAGUUUUCUCUCCACUUACCUGAUAAGAAUUGUUUAAGCGCUCGCUGGAAGAAUAAUUGGGAGAGAGUGAGGCAAGGGGUGCAGACUGUGUUUCUUAAUGUGCGAAAUGUAU